AGGAUCUGCUGAUCGAUGGGACGAGGAACGGGAGAAAAAUUAAAGCGGCGCAUGAGGCAGACGAAUGCAAACUUCACCAAUAGCUCAACGAAAAGACAGACGGUGACCGCUGAGAGGCAGCGUCGGAUCUGGUGCGGACCUGUCUCGGCGCCCGCUGCCCUCUCACCGCCCCACGCAGGAUCCCGGCCUGGUCACCGGGCAGUGUGAUGCUUCCCGACUGCCGCGGGGACAGCGAGGCACACACAGGGCUUGGGCCGCGCCGGAGGCCACACGGCCUGGCUGAGUUGCUCCUGGUCUCCCGCCUCUCCCAGGCGACCCGGAGGUAGCAUUUCCCAGGAGGCACGGUCCCCCCCAGGGGGAUGGGCACAGCCA
rnacentral:lncRNA from 10 species